UACGUAGGUGGCAAGCGUUGUCCGGAUUUACUGGGUGUAAAGGGCGUGUAGCCGGGUUGACAAGUCAGAUGUGAAAUCCUGCGGCUUAACCGCAGAACUGCAUUUGAAACUGUUGAUCUUGAGUACUGGAGAGGCAGACGGAAUUCCUAGUGUAGCGGUGAAAUGCGUAGAUAUUAGGAGGAACACCAGUGGCGAAGGCGGCUUUCUGGACUGUAACUGACACUGAGGUACGAAAGCGUGGGGAGCAAACAGG
rnacentral:rRNA from 1 species